GCAAUUUGCAUAAUAUUCUAUUACGGUAUCUCAAGGAGACACGAUGGCGUUCGGUCAAGUUCCCCGCGUUGUCGCACGAAAAUUCGCAACAUCGUCGGUUGCCAGGAGUCAGCAUUGGCAACAGCAUGGUAUUCCAGGAUCAAACUUGCCGUUUGGCAUAAAUAACCGAUACAAGCUGACUCUUGGCUUUGCUCUGUUCUUUUCAAGUGGUUUCACCGCACCUUUUCUACUUGUUCGUCAUCAGCUCCUU